CCAGAAGUUCUCAGAGGGUGAGGGUCCCACAUCUCCUGCAGGACAGGCCCUAGCUACUGAGUCACAGAAACCCAGGGCCGAAGCAAAGUCCCAAUCCCAGAGAGGCUGGGGCACACCUACAACUGAAAGGAGGCUUAGAAAUCCUUCAGAGACCACCCUAUCGGUUCUCCUCCACCUGGACAGGAUGAGCCAGCAACACAGAAGGAAGAGGCCUUCCUCCGAAAGGUAUAGAGGCCAGAAGAGGUCAUUGUCUCCAAAUAGCAAGCAAGACCUCUCCGAGGCUAACUUUGUGCAGUCUGUAGGUGUAUUCAUGCCGUGGCUCAAAUCUUUAAAUCCAACUUUAAAGAUAUUUUUAUCCUUAUUC
rnacentral:lncRNA from 1 species